CAGCGCCACGAGUGGUAACCACGUUUAUUGGGCCUAAAGCGUCCGUAGCCGGUUUGAUAAAUCUUUUGUGAAAUUGUACAGCUGAACUGUACAGCGUGCAAGAGACACUGUCAAACUUGAGACCGGGAGGAGUCAGAAGUAUUCCAGAGGGAGCGGUAAAAUGUUAUAAUCUCUGGAGGACUACCUGUGGCGAAGGCGUCUGACCAGAACGGAUCUGACGGUGAGGGACGAAAGCCAGGGGAGCGAACCGGAUUAGAUACCCGAGUAGUCC
rnacentral:rRNA from 1 species